GAUCACAGUAAUCAGAUUUUGUUUGUGUCUACUCUUUCGUCUCAUUGGACAAACUAUAGCAGAGUGGAAAUGAAAGUGCUCACGCUUAUGGUUCCCGGUCUAGUGCUGCACCAUGCGGACGAUACUGAAAGGUACAAUUGUAAAUAGCCUUUCUGCAGACAACAUUAUAUUAAGGGGCCAACACGCCGAGGAGGAUCAGGAUCUCCUUAAACUUGCACGACGGCCCAGGGGAUAGCGUUGAGAAUGGUGGUCCCCCCCAAUGCCCGAACUAACCAAGGAAUGACUCCCUCAGAUAGGAGAAGACGCAGGAGUGCUCCGGCAGUAAUUCGAAAGAGGUCCUGGAGAAUCCCAGCCCAG